rnacentral:lncRNA from 1 species
CUACAGAUGAGCUACCUAAAUCCAGCUGAAAGAGAUUGCCAGUGAAACAGUGAACUUGAAUCUGCAUCUGAGGCUCUGAGCAUCACCUUGCAAUAAUCUCCAGGACAGUGGGAAGGUCGCUCUCUGUGCAUCUCACCAAAGUGCUCUCAAAAAAAGGUUGUGCAGAAGGGCACAAAAUCCGUCCAUAGAGAAGUGCUGGUCUUUGCCUAUGAGGUGACGCUAUUGUCAGGGAACAUGAAUAAUCCUCUUCUCUUUUCUACAAAGGUAAUGUGAUGCUCAUCUAAAGGAUAAGAGAGCUUGACAAGCUUCAGCUCACCAAAAAGGUCAAGACGAGAUGGCAUCCUCUGACAAUGGCAGUCACAGAACUCUGUGCUUCUUAUUAAAGAUGAAACAGGAUUGAAGAAACCAGCAGGGCUCUGCUC